UUGGUGCAAAAAUGAGCCUAGUAAAUUUUCAUUUUUUUUAUUUUUUUGAUUUUUUUAUUAUUUUUCACUCUUUUUUUAUUUAAAGCAUUACUUGAGUGAAAAGAAACACAUUGCAACCAAUUGGCAUUAAAAUAAAUCAAUUUUAUUUUUUUUGCAAAAUUUCCCAAAAAAAACGUAAGGGGUAAGCCUUAUGAAAUUUUCGAGUGGAAAAUUUUUUUGAAAUUUUUUUUCUGAUUUUUUAUUCUUUUUUUAAUUUAAAGCAUUAUUUGAGUGAAAAGAAACACAUUGCAAACGAAUUCGCAAUAAAAUAUAUCACAUUUAAAAUUUUUGCUGAAUUGCUCAAAAAUGAGGAAAAUUUUACAUUUUCUCAAACAGGGUAAGGAACUUGGUUCCUCGAAUAACUUCUGGCACAUACAUCUGAGGGCAUGGCCGCCCAAGAAGAAAAUGUAGCCAUUGGUGCCAUCUAUCGACCACAGGUUAACGAUUGGCGAUCUGUUGGAUACCGACCGAGUUAUAGGCAAAAUUGGGUGCAAAAAUGAGGAAAAUUUUACAUUUUAUCAAACAGGGUAAGGAACUUGGUUUCUCGAAUAACUUCUGGCACAGACAUGUGAGGGCAUGGCCGUCCAAGAAUAAAAUGUAGCCAUUGUUGCCAUCUAUCGACCACAGGUUAAAGAUUGGCGAUCCGUUGGAUACCGACCGAGUUAUAGCCAAAAUUUGGUGCAAAAAUGAGCCUUAGUAAAUUUUCAUUUUUUUGAUUUUUUUGAUUUUUUUAUUAUUUUUCACUCUUUUUUUUAUUUAA